AGUGAACGCUGGCGGCGUGCCUAAUACAUGCCAGUCGAAGGAAGUGGCGCACGGGUGCGUAAUAUAUAGCUAAUCUGCCCCUUGCUGGAGGACAACAGUUAGUAAUGACUGCUAAUACUCCAUAGCAAGGGAUGAGACUAUAUCGUAUCAGCUAGUCGGUGGGGUAACGGCCUACCGAGGCUAUGACGCGUAACUGGUCUGAGAGGAUGAUCAGGCACAUUGGAACUGAGACACGGUCCAAACUCCUACGGGAGGCAGCAGUAGGGAAUAUGGCGCAAUGGGGGAAAGCCUGACGGAGCAACGCCGCGUGGAGGAUGACACUUAGCGGAGCGUAAACACCUUUUGAAAGGGAAGCGGUACCUAACGAGUAAGCAACGGCUAACUCCGUGCCAGCAGCCGCGGUAAUAC
rnacentral:rRNA from 1 species